AUGCAUUCUCCAGACUCACUGUUUAAGGUUUUACCUCCUCAUUCUAACACUGAUGGAAGCUUCGGCCUUAUAGACCAUAGACAGGUUUAAACAACAUUUGUGUAAGGAGUCUCCGGUGUCGGUGCUUCAUAAAGAAUGAAAUCCAGUGGGUGCAGCACCAUAGUGGACAAAACACCUCCACACAGCCCGCCAGCCAGGUUUUCCACACGCACGUGACUGUAGAGUCUCCACAUGUUCCCCUUCAGCGAGACGCCUCGAACCGGAGCCUCAGCGUUGAGCUCGAGCGCUGCUGCGGCUCCCUGUCCUGGUCCCUGUCCGGAGCUCGAGCUCAUGCUAACACACAGCUAACAGCUAACAGCUAGCUUUUGUACUCGUAUUCAAAAAAUAAACCAACCUUUUAAAUUGUAAUAAAAAAUAAUCAUAAUUUUCAAUGUUAAUGUACCGUCUAGUUACCCUGUUU